UACCCGCGCCCCUAGUGGUGGUCGAUAUUAUUGAGCCUAAAACGUCCGUAGCCGGUCUUCUAAAUCCUUGGGUAAAUCGGGCAGCUUAACUGUCCGAAGUCCGGGGAGACUGGGAGACUUGGGACCGGGAGAGGUCAGAGGUACUUCGGGGGGAGGAGUAAAAUCCUGUAAUCCUAGAAGGACCACCGGUGGCGAAGGCGUCUCACUAGAACGAAUCCGACGGUGAGGGACGAAGCCCUGGGGCGCAAACGGG
rnacentral:rRNA from 1 species